UACGGGAGGCAAGCAGUGGGGAAUAUUGCACAAUGGGCGCAAGCCUGAUGCAGCCAUGCCGCGUGUAUGAAGAAGGCCUUCGGGUUGUAAAGUACUUUCAGUCGUGAGGAAGGUGUUAAGGUUAAUAACCUUAGCAAUUGACGUUAGCGACAGAAGAAGCACCGGCUAACUCCGUGCCAGCAGCCGCGGUAAUACGGAGGGUGCGAGCGUUAAUCGGAAUUACUGGGCGUAAAGGGCACGCAGGCGGUUAAUUAAGUUGGAUGUGAAAUCCCCGGGCUUAACCUGGGAAUGGCAUUCAAGACUGGUUAGCUAGAGUCUUGUAGAGGGGGUAGAAUUCCAUGUGUAGCGGUGAAAUGCGUAGAGAUGUGGAGGAAUACCGGUGGCGAAGGCGGCCCCUGGACAAAGGCUGACGCUCAUGUGCGAAAGCGUGGGGAGCGAAAC
rnacentral:rRNA from 1 species